AUAAAUUCAUAUGUUCUUCCUAGAUCGUUUGAUUUACACACUAUCCUAGCUGUAAUAUACAGCAUGAUAUUCAUGCCUUUUUCUCAUAUUAGCUGGGCAGUCACCCAGAGCAAGAAGAUACGACAGAGACAGAAAGACGAAGAGAUUGAGGAGAUACACCACUAUAUCCUUUAUCUAAGCAGUCCUACCUGGAAGCCCAACAUGUAACAGAACUACUCUAAUUAAUGCCCCUUUACAACUAUCAGACCCCAUCUCGCUCCAUAGCCCCUGAGGCGACUCUGCAUGAUAUUGGAUUUCCAAGAACCACAGUUGGAAAAACAUUGGCUCUGUUCACCUUUGGAUAUGUGUAACCUGAGAGUUUUCAUGACAUAUGUGUUACCUGUAUUCACUCUGUUUACACUUUCUAACCAUUUUGUUUCUUUUGCUUUCUACAUGAUCUUUCCUUCUUCAUCUACUGAUUUCUUCUAUAAUGUUAUUAAUAUUAUUUAUUUCUUUUUCUAAACCACUAGUCCGGACACGCAGGCUCAGCGGCCAUGGCUCACGGGCCUAGCUGCUCCGCGGCAUGUGGGAUCUUCCCGGACCGGGGCAUGAACCCGCGUCCCCUGCAUCGGCAGGCGGACUCUCAACCACUACGCCACCAGGGAAGUCCUAAACCACUAGUAUUUUUUAAAGCAGUUUUACAUUUAGUAAGACUCUCAUUAUUUCUAUUUUUGUGGUUUUGAUAUUAUCUAUCAUUCUCAAAUCCAGGCCCAUGUUUAACCACCAGAUUUGAUUACUGACUUAACUAAUAUUUUAUGCAUUUUAAAUGUGCAUUAGUAUGUUCCCUGAAAUACUAGUAUACUAUUCAAAUAAAUUGUUCUUUUAUUCUUUCAAUACUUUUCACUGUCUGAAGUUUCCAUUGUAAAUAUUUAUAUGUGGUAAGUGACAUUUUCUGUAGUUUUAUUAUUAAUAAUGAAUUUACAGCUUACACGUUAAUUAUCUAAAAGGACAUUUUUAAAUUUCAUGAACAGGAGUUCUGAUGCAUAAUUGUUUUGUUAUUAGUUAAGAGUAGAAGAACAAAAUGGGGCAGAGUGGUUUGUAAAUAAACCUAUUUUUUUUCAAAUAGGAUGUGUAUAAUAAAUGACAUGACAUUUUAGUUACUAUGUUUAUUUCAUUCUUACCUUUCCCAUUUUUUAUAUUCCCUUUAAUGCUUCUUUUAUUAUUGCAUUAUUCAAAGGUAAAAUGUAUUUCAAUACCAUAUUGAAUAAAGAAGUACCUGUAUAGUUAUUAUAGUCCCUUUAUUUUUCAAUGUUUACAACUAUUGCUGUUCACUUUUGCUAUCUCCCUCUCUUUUCAACUAUAUUAAUUUUCCAAACCCCUCUUGAAAAGUCACUGGAGCAGUAUUUGUUGAAUUCAGCAUUCAAUCCAAUCUCCCUGUCACAAAUAAAAACUCCAAACAGGUAUCCAGAAAAACAUUUAUCUCCAAAAGUAUGAAUCUUUUGUUUAUAAUUAUAUUUCCUAAAGCCAUGAUAUGUCCCUGACAAUAUUUGGUGGUCACAACCUGUUCAUACAUGCUCAAUCAAAUGUUGUAUCAAAUUUGAGAUCAAUGAUGUAUUUAAAGGUGGAUGUUAUAAUGCACACAAAAUCAUAUUGUUGGAUUAGUUAUUAAUAUAUUUAGUUUAUCAUUUUAUAAAUAUACACAGAUUUGCUCAUUCAGGAAAGGAGGAAAUAGUCAUUGAAUAUAGUGAAAAUUUUGUAUUUAUAGAAUGUAGAUCCAUAUAGUCAUAUCUGAGAACUGAUAAAAAGUUGCCAAGAAGUACUGUUUUAAUACUCAGAUAUGGCUCAUUCACAUUUGUCAUAAUAAAAACUUUUGAGUCUAACAUAUGUUAACCUGACUUCUUUUUUGUAGAAGUUUGGGUAAUGAUCUAUCCUUACUCUUGUCAAUUACUUCAAACAGCAGAACUUCCCUCACCUGCUAUCAAGAAUACAAGAACCUACCUUGUGCCUGCAUCCUCACCAACCUCUUCUCAGGCUACUCAGCUAAUUUGCAAGGGUGCUCAGAACUGAAGUGCCACAACCUCCAAUAAAUGUAAACCCAGUCAAAGGGAACUAGCUAAAGAGAUGCAAGAAUAUUCAGUUCAACCACAAGUUCCUUCACUGUGAACCCAAUGACUCUGAAAACUAUGAAAGCUGCUAAUUUUCAUUAUUUUGAAUAUUAUACAGAUAGGAAGUAAAAUCCCAUAAAAAUUUCUAAUUCAAUAAAUCCUACUAUGCCAUUGUAAGAGAAAUGGUGCCUCAAAGAAAAUUAGAAUAAAAUAAAGAUCUAUUUCCAAACAUAUGCCAUGUACAGAUCAAGUUUUUUAAAAGGGUCUCUAAAAAGAGAUCAAGCAGGUAGGGAAGAAAUCAAGAAUAUUAUUCCAGAGAAGCCAAAAUAAGAAUGCCCAGAAGCCAUCAAAUGCCCAAUUCUGCUGAGACGUUAAAGAAAAUAAGGAAUAUUUUAAGAGUUAACUUUUUUCCAUUUAGUAAAAAAAUAAAUAAAUACAAAUAAAAACGUUUGUGUAUAAGGAUGAGGAAGAGUAGUAUACUGUGUGUAGCUUGCAUGAAGAAAAAUGUAUUGGGUGGGCCAAAAGGUUCAUUUGGUUCUCUCUGUAAGAUGGCUCUAGUAGCACUUAGUUGUCUUUAACUUCGUUCAAAACAAUUUUGUUAGAUUGUAUGUGACAGCUGUCAUAUCAGUGUGCAUUUAAAAAUAGACUUACAAAAUGGGUGAAUUUUUGUGUAGCCAUUUUAAUAUUGAAGAUAGAAGAAAAAAGCAACAUUUUCAGCACAUUAUGCUUUAUUAUUUCAAGAAAGGUAAUAAUGCAACUGUAAUGCAAAAAAUGAUUUGUGCAGUGUAUGGAGAAGGUACUGUGACUGACUGAACGUGUCAAAAGUAGUUUGCGAGGUUUCGUGCUGGAGAUUUCUCACUGGAUGAUGCUCCGCUGUCUGAUAGACCAGUUAAAGUUGAUAGCGAUCAAAUCGAAACAAUAAUUGAGAACAAUCAACAUUAUACCACACGGAAGAUAGCUGACAUAUUCAAAAUACACAAAUCAAGCGUUGAAAUCAUUUGCACCAUCUCGGUUACCUGAAUCACUUUGACAUUUAGGUUCCACAUAAUUUAAGCGAGAAAACCUUCUUGACCACAUUUCCGCAUUCAAUUCUCUACUGAAACGUAAUGAAAACGUUCCAUUUUUAAAACAAAUUGUGACAGGUGAUGAAAAGUGGAUACUGUACAACAACGUGGAACAGAAGAGAUCAUGGGGCAAGCGAAAUGAACCACCACCAACCACACCAAAGGCCGGUCUUCAUCCAGAGAAGGUGAUGUUGUGUAUAUGGUGUGAUUAGAAGAGAGUCCUCUAUUAUGAGCUCCUUCCGGAAAACCAAACGAUUAAUUCCAACAAGUACUGCUCCCAGUUAGACCAACUGAAAGUGGCACUCGACAAAAAGCAUCCAGAAUCAGUCAACAGAAAAUGCAUAAUCUUCCAUCAGGAUACCGCAAGACUGCAUGUUUCUUUGAUGACCAGGCAAAAACUGUUACAGCUUGGCUGGGAAGUUUUGAUUCAUCCACCGUAUUCACCACACAUUGCACUUUCGGAUUUCCACUUAUUUCGGUCUUCACAAAAUUCUCUUAAUGGAAAAAGUGUCAAUUCCCUGGAAGUCUGUAAAAGGCACCUGGAACAGUUCUUUGCUCAAAAAGGUAAAAAGUUUUGGGAAGAUGGAAUUGUGAAAAAUGGCAGAAGGUAGUGGAGCAAAAGGGUGAAUACGUUGUUCAAUAAAGUUCUUGGUGAAAAUGAAAAA